AGAAACAGAACAGAACGGAACAGUCAGUUCAGUUGGUUAUUAACCACUACAGUGAUAACACGUGAUAAAACAAAUAUUGUGAAUUUUCCUCUUUAUUCAGCUAGCCAAGAUACUGAUGAAGAAUGACGAAUACCCAGAUAGAAGUGGAGAGUCCAGAUGUUUACUCCCAAGGAGACUUGUGCAUAGAUGAGACGAGAGGUUCGGUAAGCGUGCACGACCCUACCGUGCGUAAAGCCAGCCAUGUGACUGGAAAGCGCUCGCGCCUCGAUAUGCUGCUCGCAGCUUCAGGGGUAGAGCUCAUCAAGCAAACCGAGGUGUCCGACCAUCUAACUUUUUGUUCAACUCAGACUGCUCCUCUGGAUCUAAGCCUACCCCGGUUUGCGGCCGCAACUAGCCAAUCAGAGAUUAGGCAGCCUCGGCUCAAGGUUCGAUGUGAUCUUGUAUCUCUGGAACCUAGAUCUAGGUCCCCAUCUAGAUCUCCCUACUUAGUCUUAGGUCGGGAGGAGGAUUAUGUUAGGUUUAGUUCAUCAAGUGAAAACUACGCAACAUUUAACGAAAACUACGCAAAAUCUAGUGAAAUCUGCGGAAAAUCAAGUAAAAACUACGCAGAAUUUAGUGAAAACUACGCACAAAUAGAAGAAAAAUGCGCCAAACCCAAUCGUAGAACCCAGAGUACGAAAACUAAACGGGAUAAAGUGCCGGAAAGCAGGAAUUCUGAAUCUCCGGCAGUAAACACAGGGAUUUGGAACCUAACUGUACAGGAUAUAGAUUCAAUGCUUGGUCCGUACAUAACCCAUGAAGAUAAGAAAUACAAUUGUACAGUAUGUAGCAUCAAAUUCAACACUAAACCCAAAGCUAUCAGCCAUGUCGAGAACAAGCAUAUUGAUUGCUUCCAAUACAAAUGUCCUCAAUGUCGCACAACAAAAACCUCGAGACUAGCAAUCGACUGCCACACUAGGAGUAGACACAACGACAAGAACAAGCUGCUGUCUCCUCUCCUGCGGCUCAAGCGACAGUUUGGAUUGAAGGGAGAGAAGGGAGGAGCGGGGGGAGUGAAUACUAAGAGUGAGUUAAGUAAAGGGGGAUAUGAUCUCAUGUUCGUCACAUUUCUCAGAGAUGAACUGGGUAUUGGUGAUGUCCUCUCUACCCUUGAGACCUGGAGGUUGAUGGAAACUAUCCAGGCAAGACCGAGGUCAAGCAGUACAUCUCCGUCCUCUUCACCAGCCUCAUCCCCAGCACCCUCACACUCAACCUCAAGGGAUGGAAGUGUGUCCCCCAGGGCUGAGAAUGAGAAGGUGCUGGCUAGUUGGAUGAAGAAGGACCACGGUAUAUUCGUCAUCCAUAAUAAGGAGCGGUUUGCCAGCAAAUGGUUUUUUAUCAAGGGUGUAAAGAAUGGUAGCUGGGCCCGGUUAGAAACUGAAGUUUUAGCAAACUUUGUUGAUAGAAAUAUUCUUAAACAGAUCUCAGUCCCAACAAAUACCCCUUCUAGUGAGAACCCCUGCGUAUUUCAAGUUUUCUGUAUCAGGCAGCUUCUGCAAUAAACAGCUGCUUCUCAUCUGCUCUCCAAUAAAGAACAGUAGCUGUUUGACACUCGACAGCAUAUUUGUAGCUGAAAUCUUUUGCGCCAUAUAUUUGUUUUAAUAAUUUAACGGAUUUUAGGAUAUUUCAGGAAAUAAUAUUUGAAAAUAUUUUCCUUUUAUUUUAUUUUCCAAAAACCCUUAAUUUUGUUGGCCGCUCCGACCAAAUAAUCCGAAUAUGAUUUUUUUCAAGAAAUAAAUACCCCUGUUGUAUUUAACCAAUCCAAUAAUUCGCCCACCUCAAACCCCUCGCAAUUAUCCACCAAAGCUAUUAAAUCUCACUUGAGUAGAUUAUCCAAAUUCUAAAAAGCAAUAUUAAUACCAACUGUAAUUUAUUCCUAAUAUAUGUAUAACAAUCAAACCAGUAAACAUAAAACUGAGCAUGUGAAACUAAACUUUUAAUAACAAUCCUGACUCAAAUUUUCAUACUUUCACAAUCCUUGAACAGUAAACACACAGUGUAUGUAUGUAUUAGCCUGCAAUCCAAAACUAAAGCAAUCACUUUUUUGUCAGAACUUAUAGAAAUAAAUUUGGUAAGGAAGGGGAGAGCGUAGAAUCAUUAUUAUGUAUACACAAUGUUUUGUAUGUAUUUAUGUUGUUUGCAUUUUAAACAUGUGUUUUUAGUCUGAUAAAUAUUACGGAGUAAAUCAUUUUA
rnacentral:misc_RNA from 1 species